rnacentral:rRNA from 1 species
CAGGCUUAACACAUGCAAGUCGAGGGGCAGCAUGGUCUUAGCUUGCUAAGGCCGAUGGCGACCGGCGCACGGGUGAGUAACACGUAUCCAACCUGCCGUCUACUCUUGGACAGCCUUCUGAAAGGAAGAUUAAUACAAGAUGGCAUCAUGAGUCCGCAUGUUCACAUGAUUAAAGGUAUUCCGGUAGACGAUGGGGAUGCGUUCCAUUAGAUAGUAGGCGGGGUAACGGCCCACCUAGUCUUCGAUGGAUAGGGGUUCUGAGAGGAAGGUCCCCCACAUUGGAACUGAGACACGGUCCAAACUCCUACGGGAGGCAGCAGUGAGGAAUAUUGGUCAAUGGGCGAGAGCCUGAACCAGCCAAGUAGCGUGAAGGAUGACUGCCCUAUGGGUUGUAAACUUCUUUUAUAAAGGAAUAAAGUCGGGUAUGGAUACCCGUUUGCAUGUACUUUAUGAAUAAGGAUCGGCUAACUCCGUGCCAGCAGCCGCGGUAAUACGGAGGAUCCGAGCGUUAUCCGGAUUUAUUGGGUUUAAAGGGAGCGUAGAUGGAUGUUUAAGUCAGUUGUGAAAGUUUGCGGCUCAACCGUAAAAUUGCAGUUGAUACUGGAUAUCUUGAGUGCAGUUGAGGCAGGCGGAAUUCGUGGUGUAGCGGUGAAAUGCUUAGAUAUCACGAAGAA